UCUGGACAGUGUUCAGAAGGUUUUAUGCACACACGGAUGCGACGUCGUGUUGAAUCUCUGAUUCAGGCACUUGAUCGUGCCAAGCCAGAUGUAAUCGAUACAAGUAAAAAAGCAAACAGCAGAUCCUUCAAACGGCUGGAUAGUGAUGGGAAUGCUGGGUGAUGAUGAAUUGUGGAAAUUUUGUAAUACCAGUUGCUGGGUGAGAACCAUUCAGUUUUCUCCAUAAUUGCUGGAAAGGUAAUGUGGUUAUUCUAUUUUAUUUCUUUCAUUUAUAGGGCCAUCCUUGCUUCUUUUUGGCUUUGACUGUGCUAUAUAUAAUUUAUACAUGUCAAAUCGAAGUCGCAAUAUUUAAUUUACCCUCCAAUGAUAACUUUAUUACCUUUAAUAAAUUUACUUAGUUUAAGUUUA